rnacentral:rRNA from 1 species
CCUACGGGUGGCAGCAGUGAGGAAUAUUGGUCAAUGGGCUUACGCCUGAACCAGCCAAGUCGCGUGAGGGAAGACUGCCCUAUGGGUUGUAAACCUCUUUUGUCAGGGAGCAACGCCGGCUACGUGUAGCCGGACGUAGAGUACCUGUAGAAAAAGCAUCGGCAAACUCCGUGCCACCAGCCGCGGUAAUACGGGGGAUGCGAGCGUUAUCCGGAUUUAUUGGGUUUAAAGGGUGCGUGGGCGGAAUGCCAAGUCAGCGGUAAAGUCGCGGGGCUAAACGUCGCUCUGCAGUUGAAACUGGCGGUCUUGAGUGGGCGAGAGGUAUGCGGAAUGCGUGGUGUAGCGGUGAAAUGCAUAGAUAUCACGAAGAACUCCGAUUGCGAAGGCAGCAUACCGGAGCCCAACUGACGCUGAAGCACGAAAGCGUGGGUAUCGAACAGGAUUAGAUACCCUAGUAGUC